CCUGAAGCGGGCGUGCGCGAACUGGCGGCCGCCCACUUCCUCAGCCCCGGCCUAGGCCGCCGAACAGCGGCGCGAAUACCUAGGUUUGGCGUAGGUAGCGUUGACCCACCACGGACGCCGGGGUAGAGCUAAGGGCGGCGACAGUGGCUGGAUCCAGAGGCCAGAGCUGGAGUUAAGGAAGGACAAGGAGGGAUAGUUCGUCCAGUAGCGGAGGACACCGUAGCGGAUAGUAUAGAUCGGUAUAGCAGGCGGCCGCCACGGUGGUCUAAGUCGCAGGUGUACACGCCACGCUAACGGCAGGAUCUACCGAAGGCGUGUAGGUACGGAACGGAUGUCCAUGUUGGUCGGAAAGGGGUAAGCGUUAUACGGAUCCGAUCUCUACCUCCGGGGUACACUCUUAGUGGGUUCUGUAACGAUACCAAUACCAUCUAUGUGACCUAAAUUAUACACUCAAGGUAUUAUAUGUAUAAAAAAGAUGAACAGGAUCCAUAAGGUUUAUUUAAGUCUUAAGAGAAUAAAUAAUAUACACACCAAAUUAACGAAAAGCAUCACGUGUAACAACCACUACGCAAAAAUUAACUUAAGAAGAGAAAAUCUGAAAAUGACCUAACUCGUCUUGUUUUUUCUUAUCUGCAAAAACAAAUCAAAUAAAUAUUGUCUUUUUCCUUGAACCUUCCGCUAAGUCAAAACAGUAUCCUUAACUACGAUUCAUAGAACACGUAAAUUGAGACUCCCCUUUGACGUGGGUAUGUUUAAGUUCUUAGUUAAUAGAUUGGUCCAAAUGAUUUGUAGAUACGUAAAGAGAAUAAAUAAAACGUAUAAGUAAUGAUAAAACACUAAACCAACACUAUUGGUUGCCCUCCUUCUUCUAGCGGAGGUCGUACGACUCUGGAGUUCCGUUGAGUUCUCGUCUAGCGGUUACCUUCGAUGUGGUAGGACGAGGUCGGCCUAGACCUGCGGCCGCGCGGUACUAAGUGGUUCCCGUGGCAGCACUCCAAGCACGUCGUGUGACCUCCAAGCCCUCGCGCACUACUGGUAGUACAGGUUCUAUGACGUCGAGCUCCUGUGGUAUCGGCAGGUCUCGUUACUAUAGAACCUAACUUUAGACGUCUUCCGGUGCUAUCCUUUGGCCAAUUGAGGCACCUUCAUGUAGGAGAGGAGGAGACUACAACUACACUUUAGAGGAAGACGUUCCAUUGAUCUGUUAGGUAAGGAUGUUUAAACGUUCGAAACAAAGAGUGUUCAGAAGGUGAGUUGGGGUCUGUUAUAAAGUAACUUAGACACUUAAAAGAGGACUUGACUGUCUACGUCAACGUCCAGUUUUGUAACACUAUACUCCAUUACCUUUAUAAAUACCUCCUUUAAAUGAAAAUUUGUAGCAUAUCCAAUAGAAAUAGAUUUAGUACACCAGGAAAAAGUCAAUACUCAACGUCAUCAUGAUGUACUUCUAAUAUUUAAUCCAUGCUAACAAAAACGAAAGAUUAAGUACUCAUGUUCGCAUGUUUGAGUCAUAGAUAAAAGUGGUACAGUACCGUGCCGUUGGCACCCCGCUUAUACUAACUUGGAAUAUUCGACCGGAGUUCUUGUAUUUGUGACCAAGGUAAAAUAAAAGGACCUGGAGUAUUUAUGAGUAAAACGAAUAUUGUCAAGGCUCCAUACUGUUUUUCUAAUUCGUCUUUCGUUACGAACGAUGUCUAAAGACAUUGACAGAAAGAAAUCUUGCAGAUCGGGAAACAUAUAUAAAGGAUCUCUAUUUUUUUUGGAUUAGCGAGAUCGACCCGAAUUUAAAUCCUGUAAGAAAAACCAACAAAAAAAAACGCUUUUUAACAAAAACCAACAACUUAUUCCAAAGUGUUGCCACCAUCUCUAUCAAGCUUGAACGUUAUCGAGACACAGUCUACUUUUUGUUGUUGUGUUCUUCGCUCGUACAGUUAGUACCCAUAACAAUAACAAGUUGAAAAGGUUAUCACAACGUCUUUUGUACAACAACGGCUAACUUGCUUACAAUACAAAAGUUUCUCUUAAGUUCAAGCAGAAAAUACAUAAAUAUACACGACUACGUUAUUUUAAACUAACUUAGAAGAAACUUUAAAUAAAGUCAUGAUUACGUAUUGAUUCAUUACUAUAGAUCGAACUCGUCGAGUUGAUACUGCGUGACCUAUGUGCGAUCCAUAUGACUGUAGAAUGCGUAUAGAAGCGAAAAUAAAGUCAAUAGUGAAAACCACAUCUUGAGAAACAGAAGGUAAAAUAUGUACUACAAUAAAACGAUAUAGUCAAUACAACAGGACUGGCCUAUCAAUAGAAAAGACAUUCGCUGUGUCCACCAACGACUAACCAACUGUAAAAUUAAAUCUGGAAUGAAUUAAGCAUGUUCACAUCACUGUGGUAAAAGGUACAACCAAACAAAACCAUUCGUAAAAGUACAUAUUUUACCUUAACGGCCAGACGGUGAAAUAAUGUAUAUCGAAAGUCGGACUAACUAGAAAUUGUUUUGUGGUUUGUUUUUCCUUUUCAUACUAAUGGCGUAUAGGGACGAUGACGAACAUACCAUCAUAAAUCAUAUAUAGUAAUAAACUAUAACGUUGAUUAAAUUAAGAACAAUCCUACAAACAGGAUACUUACACUACGGGAGGUGUUCUUUGUCGGUCGACGUAAUCCGUCUGUAUUUAGAAGAAACAAAGCCUUGUACCACCGGAAAACCAUCUCCGUACACUUCUAAGGUAAAUGCGUACUACAUAUGUUAGAUGAGGUAGGCAAGGAUUUAUAUUCAAAAAUUUCUUUAAAAUUAUAUUUGAUGUAUGCUUACAUAUAUCUGUAUCAAAUCUCGCAUCUAAGUGUGUAAAACGAGGUAUACAUCAGGUAUAACCUUAGAGAUUUUUCCUGAUUAUAAAUAUUUGUCUCCCUCAUAAAGAAUAACGGAUAAUAGACAUGACUAAUCAACAUAAAUGAUAGAUAUAACAAGACAUACAACGAUAUGGUUCGGUUAAACAUAUACACUGGAACGGA
rnacentral:rRNA from 1 species